AAUCCUUUAAGCUGGAAAUGUUUCAAAUAUUUAACAAAAAUUAUAUUGUUGGUGUGGAAAAAACACAGGGAAUGCGGGAGAUGGAAAUUCAACACGAUGAACAAAACAGGAUGAAAUCAGGAGCCAUUUCGACAAGUGGACUUGUCUUCUUCAAGGCAACAUGUCACUUUUAGAAAGGCAAGUCCACAUGUCGGCACAUUGGCUCCGGCUUUCAUCUUGUUCUCGUUUUGCUUAUUGUUGGUGUAGGUGCGAUAUGUGCAGUACAAUCUGACCAUUAUGGGUGUGAAAAUUAGGGAUGCGGUUUCUUUUGCACUGAAAGCUAAUCGUAUAACAAACAGUUCAGUCUGACAGGCAGAUUCAAGGUCAUUAUUUAUUACAAUAAUAAAAAUCCUCAUGUAAAGGUGCUGAAACAAGUAACAUCAUUAUACAUUGUGUUGACACCAGUGCUUUCCCUUCAUAUGGUCAUCACACAUUCAAUUUAUCAUGCAGGCAUGAUAGACAAAGAGGUGACAGCUGACCUGCUGUCAGCCCACAUCUCUUCACUGGAGGAAGAAAACCACCGCCUUCAGCAUGACCUGGAUAUUGCACGCAGUCGCCUGGCAAAGGCAGCCCCUGGAGACAGGGAUGUGCUCCGCAGCAACCCAGACAUGGUUUGGCAUUCACCAGUCAACCGUAACGAGGACAGUAGAAAGGUGGCUUGAUGCUGCUUACAUUAGGCUCAGCAGUCUGAUCAAAUGGCCAGAACGUGAAGAUCUUCAAAGAACGAUGCCAAUGGCAUUCCAAGAAACAUUUGGCAAGAAAGUAGCUGUGAUUCUGGAUUGUUUUGAAGUCUUUGUGGACAGACCUUCAGCCAUGGAACCUAGAUCAUUAACAUGGUCUACGUACAAGCAUGCAAACACCGUGAAGUACUUAAUUGGCAUCGCUCCACAAGGUGUAAUUACGUACAUAUCAAGAGGGUGGGGUGGGCGUACCAGUGACAAAAUGCUGACAGAAUCGUGUGGCAUUCUUAGCAACCUGCUACCUGGCGACUCUGUGCUGGCUGACAGGGGUUUCUUGAUCUCUGAUGCCGUGGGCAUGUGUGGAGCGAAGCUGGAAAUCCCAGCCUUCACUAAAGGGAAGCCGCAGCUUACUGCAUACUCUGUUGAGGCAACACGUAGGCUAGCAAAUGUUAGGAUUCAUGUUGAAAGAGUUAUUGGGUUAGUCAGGAACAAGUACUCCAUUCUCAAAAGCACUCUUCCCACUGAAUUUUUGGAGCCGAAGGUGCUUAACGGCAUAAAAGUCAGCGCACUUGACAAGGUUGUAUUUGUGUGUGCCGCACUUACCAACCUGUGCGACUCUGUUGUACCAUUUGACUGACAUGUGUCCUUAGUGCAAAGCAUCUAGUAAAUGUACAGUACUUUU
rnacentral:lncRNA from 1 species